UACGAAGGGUGCAAACGUUGCUCGGAAUCAUUGGGCGUAAAGCGCACGUAGGCGGCCUGUUAAGUCGGAUGUGAAAUCCCUCGGCUCAACCGAGGACGUGCAUUCGAAACUGGCAGGCUCGAGUAUGGAAGAGGGUCGCGGAAUUCCCGGUGUAGAGGUGAAAUUCGUAGAUAUCGGGAGGAACACCAGUGGCGAAGGCGGCGACCUGGGCCAAUACUGACGCUGAGGAGCGAAAGCGUGGGGAGCGAACAGG
rnacentral:rRNA from 1 species